UAAAAAGGGAACAAGUAGCAACGACGACACUACCGAACCAAACACCAAAAGGAGAACAGUUGAACAACAAGAGAGUUAAGACAUGAGGAGACGUCACACCUACACUGCAUCAAACCAAGCAACUGCACCGCUCCGUCAAACGAAUCCUCGAUAUAUACAUCUAGAGCCAGACACGCCACAGAUCCCAACUCUAUGAACCAAGACUGAUCGUUGAACAAACCAAAGGAAAAGGAAACUCACCGCAAAUACAGAAACUCAGACUAUUUGACUGGUUGAGUUGUGAAGAAGAUGCAAUGAUUUACUCCAAAGCAGCACACGACUAAGCAAAGCCCAAUCAACAAACCUCGGAGAAGCUCUCUGAGCACCGCCAAAACUUCACUCUCAACAGACUACAACCGACGUAGACAAACCACAAAAUGAAAAUCCAAAUGCCCAUCAAAC
rnacentral:lncRNA from 1 species